GCAGUAGCCGCGGUAAUGCGUAGGUGGCAAGCGUUGUCCGGAAUUAUUGGGCGUAAAGGGCUCGCAGGCGGUUUCUUAAGUCUGAUGUGAAAGCCCCCGGCUCAACCGGGGAGGGUCAUUGGGAACUGGGAAACUUGAGUGCAGAAGAGGAGAGUGGAAUUCCACGUGUAGCGGUGAAAUGCGUAGAGAUGUGGAGGAACACCAGUGGCGAAGGCGACUCUCUGGUCUGUAACUGACGCUGAGGAGCGAAAGCGUGGGGAGCGAACAGGAUUAGAUACCCGCUAGUCCCUGUCUCUUAUACC
rnacentral:rRNA from 1 species